AGUGGUAGCUCAGUGGUUGAGGUGUUGGACUAUACCUCGGAAGAUCGUGAGUUCAAAUCCCAGUGCUGCCACUG